rnacentral:sRNA from 1 species
AUCGUGAUUUUUUUAAUCAUGUUAAAUCUUUUUAAUGUAAAUAUGUCUGACUUUUAAUUGUGAUCUAGGCUUAGAUUUUUUCUUCCACGUUCAAAGAUUUAGCAUAAGGAAUGAACUUGAGACUCGGAAUUUUUACAAAUUAGGGAUUUUUUUUUUUACUCUCUUUGGACUGCUCGUUUGUUUUAUUCUUGAAUGUAAGUUCCCUCGCUCUGUCUUCGAGCUAACUGGACUUAAAGAAAUCAACGUCUCAAAUGUCCUAAAAACAAGUGCACAUGUCAUUGAACAACCAGUGCAGACGACAACCAGUCAUCUGUGCACGUGCGCUAUAAAAUAACUAAGACAAUUGCCAGUGCCUGUCAUAAGAUUUCACAUACCAACCUGAAACCACUUGAUUUAGCAUACAUACUAGAACAUUCAGAGUAACAAUAUUUAAUUUCUUUUACGUAAUUAAUUUAGUAAUGCAGUAAUCAGUAUUUGACCAGUGUGUAUGUUUUAACAAUAAAAAGAAAUUUA